rnacentral:rRNA from 1 species
GGACGAUAAUGUCACUAUCUGUUGGGGCCGUUAGAGCCUUGGUAUCGCAGCUCACGCGUGAAGUUCACCGCCCGGGGAGUACGGUCGCAAGAUUAAAACUCAAAGGAAUUGACGGGGACCCGCACAAGCGGUGGAUGAUGUGGAUUAAUUCCAUGCAACGCGGAAAACCUUACCUACCCUUGACAUGUCUGGAAAGCCUAAAAAAUUUGGUUGUGCUCGCCAGAGAACCGGAACACACGUGCUGCAUGGCUGUCGUCGCCUCGUGUCGUGAGAUGUUGGGUUAAGUCCCGCACCGAGCGCAACCCUUGUCAUUAGUUGCUACCAAGAGCACUCUAAUGAGACUGCCGGUGACAAACCGGAGGAAGGUGGGGAUGACGUCGAGUCCUCAUGGCCCUUAUGGGUAGGGCUUCACACGUCAUACAAUGGUCGGGACAGAGGGUCGCCAACCCGCGAGGGGGAGCCAAUCUCAGAAACCCGAUCGUAUUCCGGAUCGCAUUCUGCAACUCGACUGCGUGAACUCGGAAUCGCUAUUAAUCGCGAAUCACAAUGUCACGGUGAAUACGUUCCCGGGUCUUGUACACACCGCCCGUCACACCAUGGGAGUGGGUUUCACCAGAAGUAGGUAGCCUAACCGUAAGGAGGGCGCUUACCACUAGUGGGAUUCAUGACUGGGGUGAAGUCGUAACACGGUAGCCGAUACCAA